UACGGAGGGGGCUAGCGUUGUUCGGAAUUACUGGGCGUAAAGCGCACGUAGGCGGAUUGCUAAGUCAGGGGUGAAAUCCUGGAGCUCAACUCCAGAACUGCCUUUGAUACUGGCGACCUUGAGUCCGGGAGAGGUGAGUGGAACUGCGAGUGUAGAGGUGAAAUUCGUAGAUAUUCGCAAGAACACCAGUGGCGAAGGCGGCUCACUGGCCCGGUACUGACGCUGAGGUGCGAAAGCGUGGGGAGCAAGCAGG
rnacentral:rRNA from 1 species